rnacentral:tRNA from 1 species
AUUCUUCUAGUAUCAAUCAGUACAAGUGACUUCCAAUCACUAAGCCUCAGUUAAGCCCUGAGGAAGAAUA